rnacentral:lncRNA from 1 species
AUAAAGGAGACGCUUAGACUCUUCUGAACCAGAACCAUCAGGUGUGAGCGUUUGGAAUCCAGGAAGUCCUCGCCACCUGGCUGUAGAUGGGGAAGCGAUAGCUCAUUGUAUGCUUCUGCAAGAGAACGAGCGAAUGAACUCCAGUUCUUCUAUAUGAGCCAAGCAUUCUCCAGCACCAUCCCUGACAGCUGACCAUGAAGGAGGACUGCUGCUUGAUAAGAGUGGCUUUGUCUGGCAUUUAGAUGGGGUGAGUAGUCAUUCAAAGGAGGAUCUUCUCACUUUGCCCAAUGAGUAAUCCAACAACUGAGUAGAGACAUUGAGACACUGGGCUGGGCACUGGGCCAGGUGUGUGUCAGACGGUCGUGAACAUUAGGGCUACAUUCCUGCUCCUGUGGGGUAGGAAUAGAUAAAAGUUGGAUGGAAGUAAAAAAAAAUAAAUAAAAACAGAUAAUUGGAGUAUUGGAGACCAAGAUAAAGA